rnacentral:rRNA from 1 species
UACGUAGGGUCCAAGCGUUGUUCGGAUUUACUGGGCGUAAAGGGCGCGUAGGCGGCAAAUUAAGUCAUCUGUGAAAUCUCCGAGCUUAACUCGGAACGGUCAGGUGAUACUGAUCUGCUAGAGUGCGGAAGGGGCAAUCGGAAUUCCUGGUGUAGAGGUGAAAUUCGUAGAUAUCAGGAGGAACACCGGUGGCGAAGGCGGCUACCUGGACACCAACUGACGCUGAGGCACGAAAGCGUGGGGAGCAAACAGG